GAGUUUGAUCUUGGCUCAGAUUGAACGCUGGCGGCAUGCCUUACACAUGCAAGUCGAACGGCAGCACGGGAGCUUGCUCCUGGUGGCGAGUGGCGAACGGGUGAGUAAUGCAUCGGAACGUAUCCUGGAGUGGGGGGAUAACGUAGCGAAAGUUACGCUAAUACCGCAUAUUCUGUGAGCAGGAAAGCGGGGGACCUUCGGGCCUCGCGCUCUUGGAGCGGCCGAUGUCGGAUUAGCUAGUUGGUGGGGUAAUGGCUCACCAAGGCGACGAUCCGUAACUGGUCUGAGAGGAUGAUCAGUCACACUGGAACUGAGACACGGUCCAGACUCCUACGGGAGGCAGCAGUGGGGAUAUUGGACAAUGGGCGAAAGCCUGAUCCAGCCAUGCCGCGUGUGUGAAGAAGGUCUUCGGAUUGGUAAAGCACUUUAAGUUGGGAGGAAGGGCAGUAAGUUAAUACCUUGCUGUUUUGACGUUACCGACAGAAUAAG
rnacentral:rRNA from 1 species